UGGGGAAUAUUGGACAUUGGGCGCAAGCCUGAUCCAGCCAUGCCGCGUGUGUGAUGAAGGCCUUUUGGUUGUCAAGCACUUUAAGCGAGGUGGCGGCUACUUGGAUUAAUACUCUAGGAUAGUGGACGUUACUCGCAGAAUAAGCACCGGCUAACUCUGCGCCAGCAGCCGCGGUAAUACAGAGGGUGCGAGCGUUAAUCGGCUUUACUGUGCGUAAAGCGUGCGUAGCCGGCUUCUUAAGUCGGAUGUGAAAUCCCUGAGCUUAACUUAGGAAUUGCAUUCGAUACUGGGAAGCUAGAGUAUGGGAGAGGAUGGUAGAAUUCCAGGUGUAGCGGUGAAAGGCGUAGAGAUCUGGAGGAAUACCGAUGGCGAAGGCAGCCAUCUGGCCUAAUACUGACGCUGAGGUACGAAAGCAUGGGGAGCAAACAGG
rnacentral:rRNA from 1 species